CCGAACCGACUAAUGUUGAAAAAUUAGCGGAUGACCUGUGGCUGGGGGUGAAAGGCCAAUCAAACCGGGAGAUAGCUGGUUCUCCCCGAAAGCUAUUUAGGUAGCGCCUCGUGAAUUCAUCUCCGGGGGUAGAGCACUGUUUCGGCUAGGGGGCCAUCCCGGCUUACCAACCCGAUGCAAACUGCGAAUACCGGAGAAUGUUAUCACGGGAGACACACGGCGGGUGCUAACGUCCGUCGUGAAGAGGGAAACAACCCAGACCGCCAGCUAAGGUCCCAAAGUCAUGGUUAAGUGGGAAACGAUGUGGGAAGGCCCAGACAGCCAGGAUGUUGGCUUAGAAGCAGCCAUCAUUUAAAGAAAGCGUAAUAGCUCACUGGUCGAGUCGGCCUGCGCGGAAGAUGUAACGGGGCUAAACCAUGCACCGAAGCUGCGGCAGCGACACUGUGUGUUGUUGGGUAGGGGAGCGUUCUGUAAGCCUGUGAA
rnacentral:rRNA from 2 species